AAGAAAUUAUAGAUCGAUAAUCAUUCAGCUGGUUGUCAAAUGAAGGAAGAGCUCAAAUUCUCCCUUGCAAACCCUAAAAUUAAUAGAGUGCCACACAAAUGGAGAAAGAUUGAUAUGUCAGAAAGAAGAGAGAACCCUAAACCCUCCCCAGUUCCACACCCCACAGUUCUUCCUCCCGUCGUCCCAACAUCACCACCUUCAUCCCUAAACCCUCCUCAGCUCCUUCAGUGCCUUUUCCUCAUCAUUUUCCUUCUGAAGGUUGGCCAAAUCGGACUCGUCGUACUCCUUCUUGGCCUCGGGUGCCUCCAAGGACUUUGCUAUUCCACCUUGCUUGGAAGACAUGGCUGUGAUCUAGGGCAAAAGGCUUGCUCGGUUGGAAGACGCAGCAACCUUGUUUAGAAGUUUUAAAUUUAUUUUUUUUAAUGUUUAAUUUAUUUACUUUUAAUAUUUACUUUUUUCUUUAUUA